rnacentral:rRNA from 1 species
UUGACCCAUUCGACCUCAAAUCAGGUAGGACUACCCGCUGAACUUAA